UUACGGCUAUAUCACGUUGAAAAACCGGUUCUCGCAAGAUCACCGGAGUUAAGCAACGUCGAGCCUGGUCAGUAACUAGAUAGGUGACUGCUUGGGAAUACCGGGUACUGUCAG